UAACAUUCAACAAAUAUAACAUCUUGUCCCUAACACAACAUUAAUUCAUGAUCUAAUAUCUAAAAUUGAAAGAGAAUUCAUAAAGAGCUGAACAAGAGGAGUUGGAGUCGGAACUUGAGGAGUAUUGCUAUCUUUCCCUUCUAGCACCAUCAUUGAAUCCUUAUUCUGACAAUUUAGUAUAGACUGAAAUAGAAAAUAAUUCUACAUUAAGAAGAUUUAUUAGUAAAAACGCCAUUGAUAUUUGAUAAAAUAUUAACAAAAAAAUGAUAUUCAUCCAAAACAGCAUCUUAUGGAUCAUGAAUGAGUGAUGAGUUCAUGAAAAGACCAUAAAUGACAUGCUAAUGAGAACAUGUAAAUAAUAAAAAAUCGAUCUAAAAUAUUAUUAUGAUUUAUGAGAGUUUCUGGGUCAGAAUUAAUCUGCCCCAUUCAGAUCUCAGGUGAAUCCAGUUUCUGGCAGAGGCCAAUGCUGUCUGGAUUCAAGAUAGUUCCAUAUCAACGUCGAUUCCAAGCAGUUUGAUAAUUUAAAGGGGUUUAGAUGUAAUGUAGACACUUGUUUUUAUGUUUUUGUUUCUAAGUUAUUACGUAGAUAAUUGUCGGUGAAAACUGACAAUAUGUAGAAUUACUAUCUGGAAUGCACCAACGUGUAGAGGUGUUGGUCAAGACCCCUUGAACACCCCCAACACUCUAGCAAUCAUCUUAUGGUUUAUGAAUGCACAAAGUUACUAUCUGGAAUGCUAAGGCUUCAAAAUAAAAUAAAAGACAAUCAAUAGCAAAUCUAAAACCAAGAAACAUCCUGGAAUCCUAAGUAUAAAAAGAAUAAAACCUGUAUACAGUUUGCUGGCACUCAGAAGAUUGUGCUCAAUCAUAGCACUAUCAAGCACUGUAAAAUUAUCUGGCAAUAGAGCUUUCUAACAAAAAUGAUAAAAGUAAUAGAUGAGAAUCAUAAAAGUUGAUAAAAAAAUGAAAUUUAAAUAAUUUUCAGUUUCCUGUACCUGGUGUGCUUUCAAUUCUUCAGAAAAUGCAUUGAUUUCUGGUUUUCUCAAUAUUCUCUCCAGAUAAACCUAACCAUUUAUGUUUAAUAGUAUAAUAUAUUAUUUAUUUAAAUAAAUACAUAAAUAAGUGAAAUUGAACAAGUCGUUUGCUGCACAAUAUUUUAGACUAAACCUUUUGCAAUAUUGGGUAGAUCUUUAAUUUUGAGCACCUUUCAUCCUGAGAAAAAACAUAUGAUUUGACUAGAACAUGUAAAUAUGAAAGCCCCAAUGAAUCAAAGACAUACUGCAUUCUUUGCCAAGAAUGUUAGAUCCUUUUGAACACGCUGAGGUGGACAUGAAGAAAUCAAGUAACAGAAAUCCGUCGAACCAAUCCCACCUCCAUGGAAAUCAAAUAUGAUACCUUGAAAUUAGAGUAUCUCAUUCUGGAUAUGUAACUUUUUAUUCAUUUUUCAGGCAGACAAAAUGUAAUAUUAAUUAUUAGCAUACCUGAUGAUUAUUUAUUGCCUCUAGAAGUUGUUCACGG
rnacentral:lncRNA from 1 species